ACUCCUACGGGAGGCAGCAGUGGGGAAUAUUGGACAAUGGGCGCAAGCCUGAUCCAGCCAUGCCGCGUGAGUGAUGAAGGCCCUAGGGUUGUAAAGCUCUUUCACCGGAGAAGAUAAUGACGGUAUCCGGAGAAGAAGCCCCGGCUAACUUCGUGCCAGCAGCCGCGGUAAUACGAAGGGGGCUAGCGUUGUUCGGAAUUACUGGGCGUAAAGCGCACGUAGGCGGAUCGAUCAGUCAGGGGUGAAAUCCCAGGGCUCAACCCUGGAACUGCCUUUGAUACUGUCGAUCUGGAGUAUGGAAGAGGUGAGUGGAAUUCCGAGUGUAGAGGUGAAAUUCGUAGAUAUUCGGAGGAACACCAGUGGCGAAGGCGGCUCACUGGUCCAUUACUGACGCUGAGGUGCGAAAGCGUGGGGAGCAAACAGGAUUAGAAACCCUAGUAGUCCC
rnacentral:rRNA from 1 species